GACGAAGGUGGCGAGCGUUGUUCGGAAUCACUGGGCAUAAAGCGCACGUAGGCGGCGACGUAAGUUGGGUGUGAAAUCCCUCGGCCCAAUCGAGGAACUGCGCCCAGUACUGCGUUGCUUGAGGAUCCAAGGGGUGCAUGGAAUUCCCGGUGGAGCGGUGAAAUGCGUUGAUAUCGGGAGGAACUCCGGGCGGCGAAAGCGGUGCACUGGUGGAUUACUGACGCUGAGGUGCGAAAGCCAGGGGAGCAAAGCGGGG
rnacentral:rRNA from 1 species